CAGAAAAUGAGACACAUGUGACUCAUCGGCCACGUGCUGCUCAGGACCAGACAGCGUGCUGGAGGAGCAGCUCUGCUCCCUUCUGCCACCCACCCAUGGCUGGCUGUCCAGAAAAGCACCUGAGCAUUGAGAUGUCUGUUGAAUGUCAUUUCUGUACUAACUAUAAACAUCUCUACUUCAAUCCCUGCCUUCCCAUGCUGUGCUUAUAAACGGACUACACAGAUAAACCAAGGUAAGUUUACUUACACCUCAGACUGCGUUUCCUCCAACACGCAAAUCACAUAAACCCAUCACAGACAGUGAGCUGCUCCAUUCCACUUUGGGUGAUGGAGGUGUUCUUAAAUUAGAAGAUCCACGCCAGAAGCCUUGUGCACGUGUCACAGCAGGCAGCACAGCGUCCCCUACAAUAGCACAGCCGACAGGAUGGGGGUUGUGGGCCUAUUGAUGGCAGCCAUGGCUACCAGCCAGCCCCACAGCUCCCAGAGUCUGGUUCUGUGUUUGGUAACACCCUGCAGUGGGGCACGAACAUGGGGGUUUGGGGCCUGGAAACUCAGUCUGCAGCUGUGGGGCUCUCGUGCUGCACACCAGCACUGCCUCAGCUCAGCAAGGACAGAGGCUUACAGAGAAGAAAAGCUCUCGGUUUGCCCCCACCGUCACACCCCGCAGAUUUCACCGGGUCAUUUCACAUUCACACACUCUUGGAACUGCUUUUGCUGACUCUUCGUUUCCAUCUUUUCCUUUUGUGGCUCUCCCUGGCUGCCUUUUGCAAGGAGCGAGGAGGACAUCGUCAUCGAGGAGUUCGCCCGCCAGAAGCUCAAGGGAGAAAAAGACGAUGAAGACGAGAAGGAGGAAGGCGAGAAGGAGGAGAGCUGAGCUGCCUGCAGCCGGAGGCGCGGGGGGCUGUACCCCAUAGCACCCGCAGCCCUGCCCGCGCUCAGCCCCGCGUGCCCCGUAGCUGCCCUGCCGUGCCCUGCCGUGCCCUCCUGCCCCGGCGCUGCUGUCGGGCUGUCCGUUCUCGUCCGUCACCGGUCUGAAUUACGCGAUGUUUUCGGUGCGUUUAUAAAUAAACCGACACGAAACGAGAAACGGAGCCGCUUC
rnacentral:lncRNA from 1 species